rnacentral:rRNA from 1 species
AACGAACGCUGGCGGCAUGCCUAACACAUGCAAGUCGAACGAGACCUUCGGGUCUAGUGGCGCACGGGUGCGUAACGCGUGGGAACCUGCCCUUAGGUUCGGAAUAACUCCCCGAAAGGGGUGCUAAUACCGGAUAAUGUCUUCGGACCAAAGAUUUAUCGCCUUUGGAUGGGCCCGCGUUGGAUUCGCUAGUUGGUAGGGUAAAAGCCUACCAAGGCGACGAUUCAUAGCUGGUCUGAGAGGAUGAUCAGCCACACUGGGACUGAGACACGGCCCAGACUCCUACGGGAGGGAGCAGUGGGGAAUAUUGGACAAUGGGCGAAAGCCUGAUCCAGCAAUGCCGCGUGAGUGAUGAAGGCCUUAGGGUUGUAAAGCUCUUUUACCCGGGAUGAUAAUGACAGUACCGGGAGAAUAAGCUCCGGCUAACUCCGUG